AUCGCUUCUCGGCCUUUUGGCUAAGAUCAAGUGUAGUAUCUGUUCUUAUCAGUUUAAUAUCUGAUACGUCCCCUACCCGGGGACCAUAUAUUAAAUUGAUUUUUGGAACAGGGAGAUGGAAUAGGGGCUUGCUCCGGCCACUCCACGCAUCCACCUGGUAUUGCAGUACCUCCAGGAACGGUGCACCCCCC
rnacentral:snRNA from 1 species